UUAAUUCUAUUUUUCUUUCUUUUUUAGGCCAUCAGAUAUGACAAGGACCCGGUGUGGAACAAGACAAUCCAUUUUCCAAUACAGAACCCUUAUGAGGAUGAAUUGCACAUUGAGGUAAAAGAUGUGCAUCACGGGAGGUUGGGCACUUUCUCUAUGUCCAUCUGUGACCUACUGUUGGCAGAAAACCUCACAGUGGAAGGAUGUUUUAAUUUGCGUUCAUCUAAUCCUCUGGCUACUAUCAACAUAAAAAUGGAGUUGAGGAUUCUAGUGCCUCCUCAUCUUGAUGAGAGGAUAGAGGAAACGACUUCUGAUGAUUUAAAUUCUGAAGAGCUGAGUAUUCAGAUGUAAGGAGCCGUUAAUUAUGGGACAGUAAUAUAGGGAGGCAAUAAAUCACUGCCCUGAACAUAUGAGAUUAACCUUUUCCCUGUUUCUCUCUGUUUAGAUUGCCCAAAAAGAUACCCAAACCAUCAAAGGAUAGCGGAACCGCUGGGACAUCACAUGGAAAUGAAACAACUGGGACAUCAAGAGAAAA